CCUACGGGUGACAGCAGUGGGGAAUGUUGGACAAUGGGCGCAAGCCUGAUCCAGCGAUUCCGCGUGUGGGAUGAAGGCCCUCGGGUUGUAAACCACUUUUGUAGAGAACGAAAAGACACCUGUUAAUAAAGGGUGGUGCGGACGGUACUCUAAGAAGAAGCACCGGCUAACGACGUGCCAGCAGCCGCGGUAAUACGUAGGGUGCGAGCGUUAAUCGGAAGUACUGGGCGUAAAGGGUGCGCAGGCGGUUGAGUAAGACAGAUGUGAAAUCCCCGCGCUUAACUCGGGAAUGGCAUAUGGGACUUCUCGACUAGAGUGUGUCAGCGGUAGGUGGAAUUCCACGUGUAGCCGUGAAAUGCGUAGAUAUGUGGAAGAACACCGAUGGCGCAGGCAGCCUCCUGGGCCAUAACUGACGCUCAGGCACGAACGCGUGGGGAGCAAACAGGAUUAGAUACCCGUGUAGUC
rnacentral:rRNA from 1 species